rnacentral:sRNA from 1 species
CUGGAGGUAACUCGUGCUGGACGGAGGA